GAAAUGCGAUAAGUAAUGUGAAUUGCAGAAUUCAGUGAAUCAUCGAAUCUUUGAACGCACAUUGCGCCCCUUGGUAUUCCAUGGGGCAUGCCUGUUCGAGCGUCAUUUUGUACCCUCAAGCACUGCUUGGUGUUGGGCGCUUGUCCUGCAAAGGACUCGCCUGAAAGCGAUUGGCGGCCAACGUACUGGUGGUAGAGCGCAGCACAAUUUGCGUUUUUCCCCUCUGCGUUAGCGUCCAUGAAGCCUAUUUCAACGUUUGACCUCGGAUCAGGUAGGGAUACCCGCUGAACUUAA
rnacentral:misc_RNA from 1 species